rnacentral:rRNA from 1 species
UACGAAGGGGGCUAGCGUUGCUCGGAAUCACUGGGCGUAAAGCGCACGUAGGCGGCUUUUUAAGUCAGGGGUGAAAUCCUGGAGCUCAACUCCAGAACUGCCUUUGAUACUGAGAAGCUUGAGUCCGGGAGAGGUGAGUGGAACUGCGAGUGUAGAGGUGAAAUUCGUAGAUAUCGAUAGGAACUCCGGUGGCGAAGGCGGCAUACUGGUCCACUUCUGACGCUGAGGCGCGAAAGCCAGGGGAGCAAACGGG